AUAAUACACUUGUUUUUGUAAUUUUACUGUCAAUAAAGUCGUUUUUUCUCUCUCUCUUCAUAUUCCUUCACCAGUGCUGCCCCCUCCUGGUGAAUCCAUGUCCGCUGCUGACAUCGUAUUUGACAUAAGUAUUGUGUCUCUGAGCUGUAGUUGUCCUCAGUGGAUGACAGGACCACAGACAUCAGAGUGACCUGGGGGUGUGACGGUGAAACAAGCUCAUCAAGAGUGAAAGGUGGCAUCAUCUUAAAAUAAGCAGUCUCAAACCUGAUGAAAAGUACCAGUUCAACAUGGCUACAGAGGGAGAAGACAGAAGCCAAAGCAGAUGGAGCUCAGCAUCCCUAUCCACAGUGGUCCCACCCAGAGUUUUAAAGAUAGACCAUUUGGAAGAGACCUCCUUCACUCUCCACUGGUCCAAGGCUGAAGGGAUGGAGAAAGUCCCACAGCGCUUCUUCAUAUCCAACUGCAUCCCAGGAAUAGACCCCCUCACAGCCGUUACUGACGACUGCCACAAAACUUUCUCAAACCUGCAUCCUGGCACCGAGUACACUGUUAGUGUUGCAACUGUGCUGAGCAAUGGGGAACAGAGUGAACCUGUCUCUACAACAYUCUGCACUAUACUUCCUGUUCCAGACCAGCUGACUGUUGACUCAGUGGACACCACAUCAGCUGCUGUUAGCUGGAACCAGUCACCAGGAUUGGACCACACCCAACAUCAUUACCAGAUCUCCUAUCGCUGUUCAGGGACAGAACCAUACAUCACCACCACAUCUUCACCCAGCAUCACUCUCUCUGACCUGAAACCUGCUACUGAGUACUCGGUCACUGUCUGCACUGUGCUGGAAAAUGGAAAGCAAAGUCAACUGGUGUCCACAACCUUCACCACAAUACUUCCUGCUCCAGACCAGCUGACUGUUGACUCAGUGGACACCACAUCAGCUGAUGUUAGCUGGAUCCAGCCACAGGAUUGGGCCAAACCCAACAUCAUUACCAGAUCUCCUACCCUGUCCAGGGACAGAAGUACACAUCACUACCACAUCUUCACCCAGCAUCACUCUCUCUGACCUGCAAUGUGCUACUCAGUACUCUGUCACUGUCUGCACUGUGCUGGAAAAUGGAAAGCAAAGUCAACUGGUGUCCACAACCUUCACCACAAGUAAGGAAGUACACUACUUAAGUAUUGUGCCUGGUGUUAAAGUUAAUUAAACUUUUAUUAAAGUCAUGAAUGUGUUGCGAUGUUCAUGCUUGUUUCUGUUCCUGUGAGUCAUUAUGUCACGGAGUUGAUCUGCCUCUGAUUGCUUUAACUUUAUCAGCACUACAGUGUAAACACUUGUUAUGUGGGAGAGGAUUUAUAAUGCAUUCAGAAAAUAUUCAGACACCUGA
rnacentral:lncRNA from 1 species